rnacentral:rRNA from 1 species
AGUGAACGCUGGCGGUAGGCCUAACACAUGCAAGUCGAACGGCAGCACAGUAAGAGCUUGCUCUUACGGGUGGCGAGUGGCGGACGGGUGAGGAAUACAUCGGAAUCUACUUUUUCGUGGGGGAUAACGUAGGGAAACUUACGCUAAUACCGAAUAUGACCUACGGGUGAAAGCAGGGGAUCUUCGGACCUUGCGCGAUUGAAUGAGCCGAUGUCGGAUUAGCUAGUUGGCGGGGUAAAGGCCCACCAAGGCGACGAUCCGUAGCUGGUCUGAGAGGAUGAACAGCCACACUGGAACUGAGACACGGUCCAGACUCCUACGGGAGGCAGCAGUGGGGAAUAUUGGACAAUGGGCGCAAGCCUGAUCCAGCCAUACCGCGUGAGUGAAGAAGGCCUUCGGGUUGUAAAGCCCUUUUGUUGGGAAAGAAAAGCAGCAGGUUAAUACCCCGCUGUUCUGACGGUACCCAAAGAAUAAGCACCGGCUAACUUCGUG